UGGAGGAGGGAGCAGGAAUAU
rnacentral:miRNA from 1 species